UACGGAGGAUCCAAGCGUUAUCCGGAAUCAUUGGGUUUAAAGGGUCCGUAGGCGGUUUUGUAAGUCAGUGGUGAAAUCUGGUCGCUCAACGAUCAAACGGCCAUUGAUACUGCAAGACUUGAAUGAUUGUGAAGUAACUAGAAUAUGUAGUGUAGCGGUGAAAUGCUUAGAUAUUACAUGGAAUACCAAUUGCGAAGGCAGGUUACUAACAAUUUAUUGACGCUGAUGGACGAAAGCGUGGGGAGCGAACAGG
rnacentral:rRNA from 1 species